rnacentral:lncRNA from 1 species
UCGCCUUGAAACCCCUUAGUCUCUCAAAAGACUCCCAAGCUCUCCGUAGCAGUUUCCUACCUCAUUCUAUCACGAUUCCACCGGAAUCCAUGGCGUUCCAGGCCAUGAAUGACUUAUACUCGUCCUCUCUCACCAUCAAACUCAAGUUUUUCAAUGAUUUGAAGCUCGACUCUGAUGGUUCCCUUUAGUCUAUCUCGAAUCUGCAAGAUCUAUGGCCUCUCCGGUCAUUUUCCGGCAUGUUCAGAGCAAUAUGAGUCUCUUCGGCUCAGGAUCCGAUUUUCUUCAAGCCUUCUCAUGCUAUGGUCUUCUCAGUAAUUUUUUAAGGUUCUUCACUUGUCUAUUUCUUUCAGAUCUGUGAUGUAUUUAGUCUUUACUUGACGAUUUAAGGGGUUUCCCCCCUAAAUUUCCUAUUUAGAACUGUUCGAAUUCGAUUUUAGGGUUUCUGAAAAAGGAUUUCUUCAAAUGACUUUCUGAUUCUCCUCCUUUAUUUGUGUCUUGUGCUCUUUUGUCUCUUCUCUAUUAUGCAAGAAUCUUUUUUUAUUGAUUCACAUGCUUUGCUAUAUGUGUGUGUUUAUGUUUGAAGGUCUCUGAUGUUAUUCACCUUACUGAGUUUUGUUUAUGUUCUUUCUAAGCAUGUUUUACCUAAUUUGUUUAAGUUCGUAUCAUCUCUUUCUUCUGAAACUUGCUUAAAUUCCAAGUUUUCUCAAUCAUGACCUUGAACCAGUGUUCUUGCUACUAUGUAUGUUUGUCUGUCUUUCUGAGCCUCUCUCAAUUGUCUUUGUCUUCUCACCUUUGACUCUAUUUGAAAUCCUAGGUUCUGUGGGUUUCUUCGAUAGGUGGUUAGAACCCUAGGCUUUCAGACUCAUUGAGAGUCUAUAGUUGAAUGUGAAAUCCUGUUUGCUUGUGACUCUGAGACUUUCAAUGUUAAAUUCUUUUUCUAUAGUAAAUGACUCUUUUUUUGACCUGUGUGCUUUAUAUGUGAGAAAAGCUCCUCUUUCACAAGGUUUCACCAACCAAAGGAUCGAUUUUUUGAAAUCCCUUUAAUCAGGCUAAUAAUUCCCUGCGAAUUUCUUUCAAUUAAACCUCCUUAUUUUGAUCCUUUUAUGUAAAAAUCCUAUGCUUGUGAUGUUUUCCUUAAAUACAUAAUCUUCUGUGACUCUAUACCAAUAUUUGAAUUAUUUCUAUACCUAUAUGACUCUUUCCAUUAUUACUCGGGAUUCUUUGUGAUUACGAUUGGAUCCGGUGUCCUCUUGGUUGAUUUUUGAACUGAUGCACUAUUUUACUUUAUAAAUACACUACUUUCCUUAAUUACCCACUAUGUAUUUAACCUUAUUUAUGCACUAUGUGGUUUCUUUGCCUUAAUCAGCCUUAUUGAACUGAUUUCUUUUCCUUGUUCUGCCUUGACUAACCGUUUGAACUAGAGUCCUUAAUUAAAGGAUUCCAAUUGUAUUAAUAGACACUAAUUGAUUGCUAUUUUCAUGUUUGUGCACUCAUUGCCUAUGUACUACUUGUUUUCAAAAGCUAUUUAGGGACCUGUCUUCCCUCUUUACAAACACUGAAAAAGACACACGAACAAAAACUCUUCUAAUUACAUACUUGCAAUACGCUUUUCGACACUUUGCUUUGCUUUAGAUCUUUUGGAACUACAACUUAGCUCUUUCAAGGCUACUAUUGUUCACUUAUUUUCUUUGAAACUGGUUUGUCUUUUGUUGAAACAUUCUGUCUCAUCUCUAUGUGUUUACUUUACAAUUCUGGCACUAAUUGCUUUACUGCUCAUGUUCAAUGAUCUAUGCUAAUUUCCUCAUAUCUGUUUCUGUUGUGGAUCCCCAUCCCUAUUCCCUUCUAUAUGUUUGAGUUAUGGUCUUGGCCUGAUAGUAUCCGAAUUACUGCCCAGGCCAUGACCUGAUCCACAAUGGAUCCUAACUCUCAGUGCUUGACUAGCAGGCUGGUCAGGGGUGUGCCAACACCUCAAUUGCUGGGCAUGACCACUGGCUUGCCCUGUCUCUCCCUGAUUCCCCUUCGCCUUUGUGCACUCACACCUAUUGCUAGAACCUUAAGUUCUGACCUCUCUUUUAAGCUUUGCAUUGGGACCUUGAAUUCCAUCUGAACUUGGACAUCUGAGAGCUGGCUUUUCCACACCGCAUUAUGUUCUUGAUUCUGAAAUGUUUUUGGGGUGUAAGCAACGCCCGGAGUCCCGUUGAGAUUCUUGGGAGCUUUGACACACUCCAGAUAUGAGAAAGUCUUUUGGAAAUCUGAUCCUGAAAGUUGGUUUAUCUCUUAUUGUUGGACUUUGAGUCCGAAUUAACCUGUUUGGAUGUAGUUGGAG